ACCUGAUGAAGUGGACAUUUACGGAGCAAGUCCCUAAGACACUCCUAGGUCUCAAAGAAAAGUUCCCCAUCCGUCUGUGAGAAGCUUGUGAUGGCUCUCUGAAGCU